rnacentral:rRNA from 1 species
CCUACGGGAGGCAGCAGUGAGGAAUAUUGGUCAAUGGACGAGAGUCUGAACCAGCCAAGUAGCGUGAAGGAUGACUGCCCUAUGGGUUGUAAACUUCUUUUAUAUGGGAAUAAAACGUUCCACGUGUGGGAUUUUGUAUGUACCAUAUGAAUAAGGAUCGGCUAACUCCGUGCCAGCAGCCGCGGUAAUACGGAGGAUCCGAGCGUUAUCCGGAUUUAUUGGGUUUAAAGGGAGCGUAGGUGGAUUGUUAAGUCAGUUGUGAAAGUUUGCGGCUCAACCGUAAAAUUGCAGUUGAAACUGGCAGUCUUGAGUACAGUAGAGGUGGGCGGAAUUCGUGGUAUAGCGGUGAAAUGCUUAGAUAUCACGAAGAACUCCGAUUGCGAAGGCAGUUCACUGGACUGCAACUGACACUGAGGCUCGAAAGUGUGGGUAUCAAACAGGAUUAGAUACCCCGGUAGUC